GUGGGGAAUUGUUCGCAAUGGGCGAAAGCCUGACGACGCAACGCCGCGUGGAGGAUGAAGGUCUUCGGAUUGUAAACUCCUGUUGAUCGGGAAGAAUUUCUCCGGGGUCAAUACCCCCGGAGAGUGACGGUACCGGUUGAGGAAGCCCCGGCUAACUCUGUGCCAGCAGCCGCGGUAAUACAGAGGGGGCGAGCGUUGUUCGGAAUUACUGGGCGUAAAGGGCGCGUAGGCGGCCACCUCAGUCGGACGUGAAAUCCCCGGGCUCAACCCGGGAACUGCGUCCGAUACUGGGUGGCUAGAGUCCGGGAGAGGGAAGUGGAAUUCCAGGUGUAGCGGUGAAAUGCGUAGAUAUCUGGAGGAACACCGGUGGCGAAGGCGGCUUCCUGGACCGGUACUGACGCUGAGGCGCGAAAGCCAGGGGAGCAAACGGGAUUAGAUACCCCAGUAGUCC
rnacentral:rRNA from 1 species